CAGAUUGUAGUUUAUGUAGAAUAGGGCCUUUGGGAGUCCCAGGACCCUUUUAAGGGCGAGUCUGA
rnacentral:tRNA from 1 species